rnacentral:rRNA from 1 species
AACGAACGCUGGCGGCAUGCCUAACACAUGCCAGUCGAACGAGACCUUCGGGUCUAGUGGCGCACGGGUGCGUAACGCGUGGGAACCUGCCCUUAGGUUCGGAAUAACUCCCCGAAAGGGGUGCUAAUACAGGAUAAUGUCUUCGGACCAAAGAUUUAUCGCCUUUGGAUGGGCCCGCGUUGGUUUAGCCGGUUGGUAGGGUAAAAGCCUACCAAGGCGACGAUCCAUAGCUGGUCGGAGAGGAUGAUCAGCCACACUGGGACUGAGACACGGCCCAGACUCCUACGGGAGGCAGCAGUGGGGAAUAUUGGACGAUGGGCGAAAGCCUGAUCCAGCAAUGCCGCGUGAGUGAUGAAGGCCUUAGGGUUGUAAAGCUCUUUUACCCGGGAUGAUAAUGACAGUACCGGGAGAAUAAGCUCCGGCUAACUCCGUG